rnacentral:rRNA from 1 species
CAGGACGAACGCUGGCGGCGUGCUUAACACAUGCAAGUCGAACGAAGCUUGAUUACGGAUUCUUCGGAUGAAGUAUGAUAUGACUGAGUGGCGGACGGGUGAGUAACGCGUGAGUAACCUGCCCUUCAGAGGGGGAUAGCGUUUGGAAACGAACGGUAAUACCGCAUAAAGUAUUUUGACCGCAUGAUCGAAAUACCAAAGAUUUAUCGCUGAAGGAUGGACUCGCGUCUGAUUAGGUAGUUGGUGGGGUAACGGCCUACCAAGCCGACGAUCAGUAGCCGGACUGAGAGGUUGAUCGGCCACAUUGGGACUGAGACACGGCCCAGACUCCUACGGGAGGCAGCAGUGGGGAAUAUUGCACAAUGGGCGCAAGCCUGAUGCAGCAACGCCGCGUGAAGGAAGACGGUUUUCGGAUUGUAAACUUCUGUUCUUAGUGAAGAAUAAUGACGGUAGCUAAGGAGCAAGCCACGGCUAAUUACGUGCCAGCAGCCGCGGUAAUACGUAGGUGGCAAGCGUUGUCCGGAAUUACUGGGUGUAAAGGGAGCGCAGGCGGGUGAUCAAGUCAGCUGUGAAAAUUACGGGCUUAACCCGUAGACUGCAGUUGAAACUGUUCAUCUUGAGUGAAGUAGAGGUUGGCGGAAUUCCGAGUGUAGCGGUGAAAUGCGUAGAUAUUCGGAGGAACACCGGUGGCGAAGGCGGCCAACUGGGCUUUAACUGACGCUGAGGCUCGAAAGUGUGGGGAGCAAACAGGAUUAGAUACCCUGGUAGUCCACACUGUAAACGAUGAUUGCUAGGUGUGGGGGGUCUGACCCCUUCCGUGCCGGAGCUAACGCAAUAAGCAAUCCACCCGGGGAGUACGACCGCAAGGUUGAAACUCAA